rnacentral:tRNA from 1 species
AUUUUUUUUAUCAUGAUUAUAAAAAAAUUGCCGGGAUAGCUCAGU